rnacentral:tRNA from 1 species
AGCUUUAUAGUCAAUGAAUGAUAUAAAAUUGCAAAUUUUAAGUAGUAAUGUAAUAUAUACUAAGGCUU